GACGAACGCUGGCGGCGUGCUUAACACAUGCAAGUCGAACGGAAAGGCCCUGCUUUUCUGUGGUGCUCGAGUGGCGAACGGGUGAGUAACACGUGAGUAACCUGCCCUUGACUUUGGGAUAACUUCAGGAAACUGGGGCUAAUACCGGAUAGGAGCUCCUGCUGCAUGGUGUGGGUUGGAAAGUUUCGGCGGUUGGGGAUGGACUCGCGGCUUAUCAGCUUGUUGGUGGGGUAGUGGCUUACCAAGGCUUUGACGGGUAGCCGGCCUGAGAGGGUGACCGGCCACACUGGGACUGAGAUACGGCCCAGACUCCUACGGGAGGCAGCAGUGGGGAAUAUUGCACAAUGGGCGGAAGCCUGAUGCAGCAACGCCGCGUGCGGGAUGACGGCCUUCGGGUUGUAAACCGCUUUCGCCUGUGACGAAGCGUGAGUGACGGUACUGGGUAAAGAAGCACCGGCUAACUACGUG
rnacentral:rRNA from 1 species